rnacentral:rRNA from 1 species
GAGGAAUAUUGGUCAAUGGACGCAAGUCUGAACCAGCCAUGCCGCGUGCAGGAAGACGGCUCUAUGAGUUGUAAACUGCUUUUGUACGAGGGUAAAUCCCGAUACGAGUAUCGGGUUGAAAGUAUCGUACGAAUAAGGAUCGGCUAACUCC